AUUGAACGCUGGCGGCAGGCCUAACACAUGCAAGUCGAGCGGAUGAAGGGAGCUUGCUCCUGGAUUCAGCGGCGGACGGGUGAGUAAUGCCUAGGAAUCUACCUGGUAGUGGGGGAUAACGUCCGGAAACGGGCGCUAAUACCGCAUACGUCCUGAGGGAGAAAGUGGGGGAUCUUCGGACCUCACGCUAUCAGAUGAGCCUAGGUCGGAUUAGCUAGUUGGUGGGGUAAAGGCCUACCAAGGCGACGAUCCGUAACUGGUCUGAGAGGAUGAUCAGUCACACUGGAACUGAGACACGGUCCAGACUCCUACGGGAGGCAGCAGUGGGGAAUAUUGGACAAAGGGCGAAAGCCUGAUCCAGCCAUGCCGCGUGUGUGAAGAAGGUCUUCGGAUUGUAAAGCACUUUAAGUUGGGAGGAAGGGCAGUAAGUUAAUACCUUGCUGUAUUGACGUUACCAACAGAAUAAGCACCGGCUAACUUCGUG
rnacentral:rRNA from 1 species